UAUCAUUUACAUUUCGGUGUUUCGGUGAUGAAUUUGUAGUAGACGUGAGCGCUCUACCCACUAUUUCGGGUGGGAGCUCAGCUAGACGGGGGUCUGGCUGUGAGUGUCCGUAUAUACGUGUACACACGCGCGUGAGAGAGAGAGGAGUGUUUUCAUGGAGCAGUGUUCAAAUGUGAAUCUUCCGUAGAAGUCAGUUUGGGGAGCCGAGGAUUCUUUUAGACAGAUAGAAACUCUGUGUACUGGUUGAGCUACGGCGUCUUAGAUUUAGGGCAGGUAGAGGUGGCCUUAAUUGUUGGGUCACUGGCAUCUAUGUCAGAAGUCUGAGCUCUGACAAGUGAUAGUGUCGUGACAUUGUAUUGAGUGUUGCUGUUGGGCCGAUCCCCAGUGACGCCUUUAUUAGCGACCAUUUGGGAAUUUAAAAAAUUCCUGUCGUCGUUUAUAAUUACUGUCUUUUAUAGUUAAACACUCCCGGUCGGUACCCACUUUUAAGGCAUUUCUGCUUAAUGUUGGUCUAGUGUGUUCAGUAACGUUCUCCACUGCAAUGAAUUUAAGCUACAAAUGAAAAAUUCAUCUCCGUUUAAAUAGAAUACCUCUGCAUUUGUUUGUGGCAUUUUUCUUUUGUGUUUUUGUGGUGACAUGUAGCUUGGUGUUGGCGAGAUGCAUUUCACAGUGGGCAUUGGCUAGCGAUUUUACCUCUGUCAUUUUGCUUCUGUCCACGACGCAGCUUCUGGGCAGUCAUUAAAUGUGUCUUACUCUAAAUAUAUGAUACCUGCCAUCUGGAAGUCACCGGGCCUGUUGCAUGAAAUUCACUCAAGCUAGAGAGAGAGAGCGCGGGAUUCAUUGUCCAAACCGGAAACUUGUAAAUUUGGGAGGAGCCCCAGUUUGAGCUGAUAGACUCUUGCUUUUGAAGCCCCGGUGGAAAACUGACCUUUUCCUCUGUUUGUCUCCACUAUCUCAUUUACGAGGUUUAUGCUGUGGUUCAGACUUCCGGUCCUGUCAACCAUGAUCAGUUCCCUGAGGUCAACGACUGAGCUACGUUCUUUGUAUUAAUAGGAUUUGAGUUUGGGGAACAAAAGAUGAAGCAAGCCUCCGUGAUUUUGUUUUCCCCCUCUGGACGUUCAGCUGAGUGGAAGUGGAGAUGAUAAAGCGUUUCAGGAGCACUCUGGCAGGGAGGACGCUGGAUGCUGUGUGUGUGGUUGUCUCUGACAGUGACCUACUCAGAGAGCGACGCUGGUUCGGAAGGAGUGAUGGCUGGCAGGACCCCCAGCGCAUCCUGGAGACAGGGCCUAGGUCCCAUCUGGGUCCCUCUUCUCUUUUCACCAUUUCAUCAAAGCGGCAGUCUUCUCUCUGCAUCCUAAGGGGAUGCAGUUUAAAAACAGAGCGGUUUCCUAGGCUCCGUGUGUUGUGGAUGGUGGAGUAUGUCUUGAUUCCGGUGCAGGGCACCGUCGGCCGGCGGGCUGGCUCAGGGCGGUCCACUCCCUUCCCAGGCGGGAGGAGGCCGCAGGCAGGUCGGGAUUUUCCUUCUUCCCUGGCUUCCCCUCGUUUCUGGUUUCUGUGUAACCACAUAGGCUCAGGAACCAGCCCAGGUCGAGGGAAGCCCUCCCUCGGGGAGGGGGCGGGCGGGGUCGCCCGGCCGGGUGUGUGCGUCAGGGGCGGGAUGUGGCAAGAUGCCCGGCCACCCCCGGGGCCCCCGAGCAGGGCUCAGGGCAGGACCUGCCUCAGCUCCCGAGCCAGGCCACCCCAUCCUGGCUCUUUCCUCGGACUCUGCCAAGCCAGGGUCCUCUCCGCCCACUGCCCCUUCCCUGAGCAGAGCGUCCUGUUGAGGGAACUCCGACCGCCUGCGGACGCACCUCACCCCCUUCACCAUGGCCUGGGGUCUGCACACCCAGGGGCAGCCUGGUCUCUUAAGCGGCCUGGCUAGCCUGGGCCCUGGGGUGUGCAGCGUCUCCCCUUCGUGAGCUCCAUCAGCUGACCCCCGAGGCCCCCCGCAUCCUCCCUGCAACCCAGGAGGUCCAGGCAGCCCCACGGCUCCUGCUCAACCAGCCUCAACGCAGCGGGAGCUCAGCGCAGCGGUGGGAGGUGGGGCUGAAGGCAGCUCGAACAAGAGAGGAAGGAGAAAAGUUCCUCAUUUCAUCUCCAGUUUGCUGUUCCCACGACCACUGGCCGCGGUUUACAGUUGGUGAACUUAAAUUUGAGCAAGUGCAAAAGUCCACCUGGAUAAACUGUUACCUCCGGGAGAAGGACACUCACAACACUUGGUUCAACUUCUGAAUUUUGGAAAAAGAUCCAAAGGCGAAGCUCAAGUCCAAUCUUUCCUGAGUGCCUCUGUCCACGCCCCCUCCUGUCUCUCCAUCGGCCUCCCCAUUUCUUGGUAACUCAUGGGUGAACGGAGCCAGAGGCGGCUGCGUCCCUCCCCAGGGCAGGACCUGUGCAGGGCGGCCUCCCUAGGUCUGCAGAGGGGUCUCAGAAUCACCAUGUCACAGGGCUCCCCAGCCUCUGCGAUCUCAUUCCCGCUGAUCUGAGGAGGGGCUGAUGUAAGAGCAAUAGAAAGAAAGCGCACCGUAAACGUGAUACACUCGAAUCAUCCUGAAACCUUCGCUCUGGCCCGUGAAACACUCGUCUCCACGAAGCUGGUCCCUCAUGCCAAAAAAGAUCGGGGACCGCUGCGUCCUACCGCAGACUCCUACACUGACCCCUGUUCGCCUGGACGCAGGAGGUUAAAGGGCGUGACCUCAGGCGUCCAGCAGACCCGGAGAGAGGUGUGUUGGGUCCCUGGCGCCGAGUGUUCCUUCCCCGCCGGCCUCCUGUGCUCGCUCUCUCCUGCCCACCGGCCACUUACAGUUGCCACGGUAGCUCAAACAGCUUAGCUGAUAAUGCUGAACGUCCCUGUGCGCCUGCCUGGAGUCUUCUCCAGUCAUGUCGUUUUUGAAUUAAACUUCAUUUCGAGAGGACUGUGGGCUCAGGUGAGAGAGUACAGAGGGGUCCUGUGUGCCCUUUGCCCGUUUCCCCAGAGGCAGCCUCUUGCAGAGUAACUAUUAAACCGUGUGAAUCCGGGCUUUUGACUCGCAUGCUGUCAACACGGAGAACCUUGCCGUGACCACAAGGAUCGUUCACACUGCCUUUUUAUUUAUCGUGAUUACUGUCUUUUUGUUUGGCUGCGCUGGGUGUGUGUUGCAGCGCGCGGGCUCCAGAGUGCUUGGGCUCAGGGGUCUGGCACCUGGCUUUUGUUGCCCUGUGGCGUUUGGGAUCUUAGUUCCCUGCCCAGGGAUCGAACAGGCGUUUCCUGCGUUGGAAGGCAGAUUCUUAGCCCCCGAGUUGCCAGGGAAGUUCCAUACUGGCUUUUUAGAGCCACAGCCACCUUCCUCCCACCCCUACCUCAUUCUUAACCCUUAGGAACCACUGAUUUCUUCUCCAUUUCUAUAAUUUUGUCAUUUCGGGCAUGUUAUAAAAAUGGAGCCCUACCACAUGUAGCGUUUGAGAUUGGCUUUUUUCACUCGGCAUCAUUCCUUGGAGAUCCAUCCAAGUGGCUGGAUGCAUCAUUGGUUUGUUCCUUUCUAUUGCUGGGUGUCAUUCAUCAUAUGUUCGUGUCCAAGGUGCUUAGCCCAUCCAGUCACUGAAGGAGGUCUUCUUUGCUCCCAGUUUGGGGCUGUUAUGAAUAAAGCCCUCACAGACACUUGUCUGCAGGCUUUUGUGUGAACAUCAGUUGUCAUCUCUCAGGGAGGAGACUCCUUUGUGUGCUGGGCUGUGGGUGGUUGCAUAUUUAUGUUAUUAACAAAUUCUUCUCCACGGUGUCUCAAGAGCAGCGUAUGAAUGACCUAGUUUCUCCACCCUCAGCAGCAUCUGGUGGCAGCGUCAUUUAUCUUCACCGUCCCGAUAGGUGUGUAGUGAUCUCCUGGGGUCUUCACCGUCCCGAUAGGUGUGUAGUGAUCUCCUGGGGUCUUCACCGUCCCGAUAGGUGUGUAGUGAUCUCCUGGGGUCUUCACUGUCCCGAUAGGUGUGUAGUGAUCUCCUGGGGUCUUCACCGUCCCGAUAGGUGUGUAGUGAUCUCCUGGGGUCUUCACCGUCCCGAUAGGUGUGUAGUUGUGAUGUCCUGGGGUUUUCACCAUCUCGAUAGGUGUGUAGUGGUGUCUUGUGGUUUUAAUUUGUGUUUUCUCCAUAGCAAAUGAUGUUGAACAUCUUUUUAAGUUUAUUUGCCGUCUGCAUAUCCUUUUUGGUGAAAUGUCUCUUCCUGUCUUUUGCCCAUUUUCUAAUUAGUUUUUUUGUUUGUUUUUACUGUUGCAUGUUAAGAGUUCUUGGUAUGUUUUAGACAUCAGUCCUUUGUUAUGUGGUUGCCAGCCUUUUCUCCCAGUCUGUGACUUGACUCUUCAUCUUGUUAGGUCUUUGACAGAGUAAAUGUUUUUAUUUUUGACGAAGUUCCAUUUAUCAGUUUUCUCUUUUAUGGCUUGUGGUUUUGGCAUCAUGUGUAAGAACUCUUUGCUCUAGAUUCUGAAAACCCUUUUUUUUUU